rnacentral:rRNA from 1 species
UACGUAGGGUGCGAGCGUUGUCCGGAAUUAUUGGGCGUAAAGAGCUUGUAGGCGGUUGUCGCGUCUGCCGUGAAAUCCGGGGCUCAACCCGGACUUGCGGUGGGUACGGGCAGACUAGAGUGUGGUAGGGGAGACUGGAAUUCCUGGUGUAGCGGUGAAAUGCGCAGAUAUCAGGAGGAACACCGAUGGCGAAGGCAGGUCUCUGGGCCACUACUGACGCUGAGAAGCGAAAGCGUGGGGAGCGAACAGG